rnacentral:rRNA from 1 species
GACGAACGCUGGCGGCGUGCCUAAUACAUGCAAGUCGAGCGGACGGAUGGGAGCUUGCUCCCAGACCGUCAGCGGCGGACGGGUGAGUAACACGUGGGCAACCUGCCUGUAAGACUGGGAUAACUCCGGGAAACCGGGGCUAAUACCGGAUAACUCUUUCCCUCACAUGAGGGAAAGCUGAAAGAUGGCAUCUCGCUAUCACUUACAGAUGGGCCCGCGGCGCAUUAGCUAGUUGGUGAGGUAACGGCUCACCAAGGCGACGAUGCGUAGCCGACCUGAGAGGGUGAUCGGCAACACUGGGACUGAGACACGGCCCAGACUCCUACGGGAGGCAGCAGGAGGGAAUCUUCCGCAAUGGACGAAAGUCUGACGGAGCAACGCCGCGUGAGUGAUGAAGGUUUUCGGAUCGUAAAACUCUGUUGUCAGGGAAGAACAAGUACCGGAGCAACUGCCGGUACCUUGACGGUACCUGACCAGAAAGCCACGGCUGACUACGU